rnacentral:snoRNA from 1 species
AAAUGAUGAGAUUUUUGAUUUAGAUGACGAGUCUGAUGAGGUUUUUCUCAUUGAAGACACAAACAAUAAAAUAUACCAUUCAUGCUUUUCUGAUA